AUUGAACGCUGGCGGCAUGCCUUACACACGCAAGUCGAACGGCAGCAUAGGAGCUUGCUCCUGAUGGCGAGUGGCGAACGGGUGAGUAAUAUAUCGGAACGUGCCCUAGAGUGGGGGAUAACUAGUCGAAAGAUUAGCUAAUACCGCAUACGAUUUAAGGAUGAAAGUGGGGGAUCGCAAGACCUCAUGCUCGUGGAGCGGCCGAUAUCUGAUUAGCUAGUUGGUGGGGUAAAAGCUCGCCAAGGCGACGAUCAGUAGCUGGUCUGAGAGGACGACCAGCCACACUGGGACUGAGACACGGCCCAGACUCCUACGGGAGGCAGCAGUGGGGAAUUUUGGACAAUGGGGGCAACCCUGAUCCAGCAAUGCCGCGUGAGUGAAGAAGGCCUUCGGGUUGUAAAGCUCUUUUGUCAGGGAAGAAACGGUGAGAGCUAAUAUCUCUUGCUAAUGACGGUACCUGAAGAAUAAGCACCGGCUAACUACGUGCCAGCCGCCGCAGUAA
rnacentral:rRNA from 1 species